rnacentral:rRNA from 1 species
UACGUAGGGUGCAAGCGUUGUCCGGAAUUAUUGGGCGUAAAGAGCUCGUAGGCGGUUUGUUGCGUCGGCUGUGAAAUCCCGAGGCUCAACCCUCGGGUCUGCAGUCGAUACGAGCAAACUAGAGUGUUGCAGGGGAGACUGGGAAUUCCUGGUGUAGCGGUGAAAUGACGCAGAUAUCAGGAGGAACACCGGUGGCGAAGGCGGGGUCUCUGG